UUGAACGAAGCCGAAGCGGUCGAGGCGCCAGCUUGUGAAUCUGGUCGUAACGGGUUCGAGUCCCGUCGUUCAACCCA
rnacentral:tRNA from 1 species